AACGAACGCUGGCGGCAGGCCUAACACAUGCAAAGUCGAACGAGAAACCAGAGCUUGCUCUGGCGGAAAGUGGCAGACGGGUGAGUAACGCGUGGGAAUUUACCCAGUGGUACGGAAUAACUCAGGGAAACUUGUGCUAAUACCGUAUACGCCCUUCGGGGGAAAGAUUUAUCGCCAUUGGAUGAGCCCGCGUUAGAUUAGUUUGUUGGUGGGGUAAUGGCCUACCAAGACUACGAUCUAUAGCUGGUCUGAGAGGAUGAUCAGCCACACUGGGACUGAGACACGGCCCAGACUCCUACGGGAGGCAGCAGUGGGGAAUAUUGCACAAUGGGCGCAAGCCUGAUGCAGCCAUGCCGCGUGAGUGAAGAAGGCCUUAGGGUUGUAAAACUCUUUCACCGGUGAAGAUAAUGACGGUAGCCGGAGAAGAAGCCCCGGCUAACUCCGUG
rnacentral:rRNA from 1 species